GCAGCGAAGUCGUGAGGCGGAGCAAAUCUCGAAAACCGGUCCCAGUUCGGACUGCAGGCUGCAACUCGCCUGCACGAAGCCGGAGUUGCUAGUAAUCGCGGAUCAGAAUGCCGCGGUGAAUACGUUCCCGGGCCUUGUACACACCGCCCGUCAAGCCAUGGGAGCCGGGGGUACCUGAAGUGCGUAACCGCGAGGAGCGCCCUAGGGUAAAACUGGUGACUGGGGCUAAGUCGUAACAAGGUAAC
rnacentral:rRNA from 1 species